rnacentral:rRNA from 1 species
CCCCGAGGAAAAGAAAUCAACCGAGAUUCCCCCAGUAGCGGCGAGCGAACGGGGAGCAGCCCAGAGCCUGAAUCAGUGUGUGUGUUAGUGGAAGCGUCUGGAAAGGCGCGCGAUACAGGGUGACAGCCCCGUACACAAAAAUGCACAUGCUGUGAGCUCGAUGAGUAGGGCGGGACACGUGGUAUCCUGUCUGAAUAUGGGGGGACCAUCCUCCAAGGCUAAAUACUCCUGACUGACCGAUAGUGAACCAGUACCGUGAGGGAAAGGCGAAAAGAACCCCGGCGAGGGGAGUGAAAAAGAACCUGAAACCGUGUACGUACAAGCAGUGGGAGCACGCUUAGGCGUGUGACUGCGUACCUUUUGUAUAAUGGGUCAGCGACUUAUAUUCUGUAGCAAGGUUAACCGAAUAGGGGAGCCGAAGGGAAACCGAGUCUUAACUGGGCGUUAAGUUGCAGGGUAUAGACCCGAAACCCGGUGAUCUAGCCAUGGGCAGGUUGAAGGUUGGGUAACACUAACUGGAGGACCGAACCGACUAAUGUUGAAAAAUUAGCGGAUGACUUGUGGCUGGGGGUGAAAGGCCAAUCAAACCGGGAGAUAGCUGGUUCUCCCCGAAAGCUAUUUAGGUAGCGCCUCGUGAAUUCAUCUCCGGGGGUAGAGCACUGUUUCGGCAAGGGGGUCAUCCCGACUUACCAACCCGAUGCAAACUACGAAUACCGGAGAAUGUUAUCACGGGAGACACACGGCGGGUGCUAACGUCCGUCGUGAAGAGGGAAACAACCCAGACCGCCAGCUAAGGUCCCAAAGUCAUGGUUAAGUGGGAAACGAUGUGGGAAGGCCCAGACAGCCAGGAUGUUGGCUUAGAAGCAGCCAUCAUUUAAAGAAAGCGUAAUAGCUCACUGGUCGAGUCGGCCUGCGCGGAAGAUGUAACGGGGCUAAACCAUGCACCGAAGCUGCGGCAGCGACGCUUAUGCGUUGUUGGGUAGGGGAGCGUUCUGUAAGCCUGCGAAGGUGUGCUGUGAGGCAUGCUGGAGGUAUCAGAAGUGCGAAUGCUGACAUAAGUAACGAUAAAGCGGGUGAAAAGCCCGCUCGCCGGAAGACCAAGGGUUCCUGUCCAACGUUAAUCGGGGCAGGGUGAGUCGACCCCUAAGGCGAGGCCGAAAGGCGUAGUCGAUGGGAAACAGGUUAAUAUUCCUGUACUUGGUGUUACUGCGAAGGGGGGACGGAGAAGGCUAUGUUGGCCGGGCGACGGUUGUCCCGGUUUAAGCGUGUAGGCUGGUUUUCCAGGCAAAUCCGGAAAAUCAAGGCUGAGGCGUGAUGACGAGGCACUACGGUGCUGAAGCAACAAAUGCCCUGCUUCCAGGAAAAGCCUCUAAGCAUCAGGUAACAUCAAAUCGUACCCCAAACCGACACAGGUGGUCAGGUAGAGAAUACCAAGGCGCUUGAGAGAACUCGGGUGAAGGAACUAGGCAAAAUGGUGCCGUAACUUCGGGAGAAGGCACGCUGAUAUGUAGGUGAAGUCCCUCGCGGAUGGAGCUGAAAUCAGUCGAAGAUACCAGCUGGCUGCAACUGUUUAUUAAAAACACAGCACUGUGCAAACACGAAAGUGGACGUAUACGGUGUGACGCCUGCCCGGUGCCGGAAGGUUAAUUGAUGGGGUUAGCGCAAGCGAAGCUCUUGAUCGAAGCCCCGGUAAACGGCGGCCGUAACUAUAACGGUCCUAAGGUAGCGAAAUUCCUUGUCGGGUAAGUUCCGACCUGCACGAAUGGCGUAAUGAUGGCCAGGCUGUCUCCACCCGAGACUCAGUGAAAUUGAACUCGCUGUGAAGAUGCAGUGUACCCGCGGCAAGACGGAAAGACCCCGUGAACCUUUACUAUAGCUUGACACUGAACAUUGAGCCUUGAUGUGUAGGAUAGGUGGGAGGCUUUGAAGUGUGGACGCCAGUCUGCAUGGAGCCGACCUUGAAAUACCACCCUUUAAUGUUU